GCUCGGAGUGGCCUAACGUGGAGGGAUCCCAUACGUGUAGCCCACGCGUGCGAGUUGGGGGGCGAUCCCCUCUCCCUUCUCUCAUUCCCCCUUUCUCAGCUCUCCUUCACUUAUAUCCGUCAACUCCCUCUCUCGUUCUCACCCUCUUCAUCUCUCCCUGCCUCUCUCGUUCUCUCCCUGUCGAGAACCGCCUCAACCACGAGGCAGCUGGUUCCACGUCGCCCCUAGCUAGCUGCGACAACGACCAGCCCUCUCGAAUCGUCUCAGGUAUCUGCGCAAACACAAUAGUAAUGUCAGCUUUCCGAGCCUUCUGGCACAGUCCUGUGGGUCCCAAAACAACUCAUUUUUGGGGACCUAUUGCAAACUGGGGUUUCGUUGCUGCUGGAUUGGUGGACACCCAAAAGCCACCUGAGCAGAUAUCUGGCAAUAUGACUGCAGCAAUGUGUGUUUAUUCAGGACUUUUCAUGAGGUUUGCAUGGAUGGUUCAGCCACGCAAUUAUCUGCUUCUAGCGUGCCACGUGUCUAAUGAAACGGUGCAACUCUAUCAGCUGUCACGCUGGGCAAAGGCUCAGGGCUGGUUUUGUGGCUUCGGAUGGAUGAGAGAAUGUGCUCCAGUUACUGUUGCAAUCUGAGGAAGAGAGUCUGACUUGGAAUUCUCAUGGUGAUUUUUCUCAAAUAUGGAACAUCUCCACCAUAUAAUCUAGUGCUAAUUUCCCCCAUUGUGGCGCUUGGUACUUGCAGAAGAAAGAGGAAAUUGAAAAGCAGUAACUUGUGGAUAUCCUCCUCAGAAGUAACGCUCACGUUGCAUUUCAAUAAACCACGCUGCGUUUCAAUAAAUCACAAGGGUCGCGCUCCAUAUCAUAUGGAUAGCAUUAUAUGUCUGUAAACCUCUCCAUUCCAGUGUGCUCUAAUUUCAUUCCUCUUUUUUUUUUUUCUUCUUUAUUUGAAAGUUGAAACAUGCGACAUCUUUGAAUCAUGUUGACUUCAUGCUUGCUUGUCAUUGGUUUAUGGAAACGCUGAUGAGGAUUUAUGAGGCUUUGAUGCAUCUUGAGUUGAA